UUUCUGCUACUUCUGCGAUUUCUGUGACUUCUGCUACUUCUGCGAUUUCUGCUACUUCUGCGAUUUCUGUGACUUCUGCUACUUCUGCGAUUUCUGUGAUUCCUGCGAUUUCUGCGACUUACCACCGUAUGAGAAAGUUACAUCUGUCAACACAGAAAAUUGCAUCUCAACAAACCUGUCUUUGGCAAGUACCUGAACUACAUUUCAGUCACUCAGUAAAGUGAUAACUCAAAAUAUCAUUGUCAACAGAUCUGAAGAAAUUGCCACUGCGUCUUUAGACCGUUUUCGUCAGACGAGAGACACAGUUCUGACUCUGAUUACUGGUUGCUGUACGUAUCUAUCCACAUCAAGGCUGUUUUCGAGAGAGACUAGUGAAGAUUCAAGACAGUUCUUAGAGGAUUUGCAGUUUAAAAGUGAAAUAAUUGUGAAAUAAGUGUGUGAAUGAUUAAACUGUGUUUUAUUGAA